UACGUAGGUGGCAAGCGUUGUCCGGAUUUACUGGGUGUAAAGGGCGUGCAGCCGGAGAGACAAGUCAGAUGUGAAAUCCACGGGCUCAACCCGUGAACUGCAUUUGAAACUGUUUCCCUUGAGUGUCGGAGAGGUAAUCGGAAUUCCUUGUGUAGCGGUGAAAUGCGUAGAUAUAAGGAAGAACACCAGUGGCGAAGGCGGAUUACUGGACGAUAACUGACGGUGAGGCGCGAAAGCGUGUGGAGCAAACAGG
rnacentral:rRNA from 1 species